rnacentral:rRNA from 1 species
CCCUUAGAUGUCCUGGGCCGCACGCGCGCUACACUGAUGCAUUCAACGAGCCUAUCCUUGACCGACAGGUCCGGGUAAUCUUUGAAUCUGCAUCGUGACGGGGAUAGAUUAUUGCAAUUAUUAAUCUUCAACGAGGAAUGCCUAGUAGGCGCAAGUCAUCAGCUUGCGUCGAUUACGUCCCUGCCCUUUGUACACACCGCCCGUCGCUCCUACCGAUUGGGUGUGCUGGUGAAAUGUUCGGAUCGGCCGUUUGUCGCGGUUUCCGCGUCAUGUGGCUGAGAAGUUCAUUAAACCCUCCCACCUAGAGGAGGGAGAAGUCGUAACA